AGCAGCCGCGGUAAUUCCAGCUCCAAUAGCGUAUAUUAAAGUUGUUGCAGUUAAAAGCUCGUAGUUGAAUUUCGGGAUCAAUAUAUUGGUCGUGCCUUUGGUAUGCACUGGUAUUAUUGAUUUCUACCUUCUGACGAACCAUGAUGUCAUUAAUUUGGUGUCAUGGGGAAUCAGGACUGUUACUUUGAAAAAUUGAGUGUUUAAAGCAAGCACACGCUUGAAUACAUUAGCAUGGAAUAAUGAAAUAGGACGUUUGAUCUUAUUUUGUUGGUUUCUAGGAUCGACGUAAUGAUUAAUAGGGAUAGUGGGGGCAUUAGUAUUCAAUUGUCAGAGGUGAAAUUCUUGGAUUUAUUGAAGACUGACUACUGCGAAAGCAUUUGCCAAGGAUGUUUUCAUUAAUCAAGAACGAAAGUAGGGAUCGAAGACGAUCAGAUACCGUCGUAGUCUUAACCAUAAACUAUGCCGACUAGGGAUCGGAUGAUGUUUAAUUUUUAAUGUA
rnacentral:misc_RNA from 1 species